rnacentral:rRNA from 1 species
GAGAACGCUGGCGGCGUGCCUAACACAUGCAAGUCGAACGGAGGUCAGUGCUUCGGUAUUGACCUUAGUGGCGAACGGGUGAGUAACGCGUGAGGAACCUGCCUUUCAGUGGGGGACAACAGUUGGAAACGACUGCUAAUACCGCAUGAUGUUAUUUGGGGGCAUCCCUGAAUAACCAAAGAUUUAUUGCUGAAAGAUGGAUCCGCGUCUGAUUAGCUUGUUGGCGGGGUAACGGCCCACCAAGGCGACGAUCAGUAGCCGGCCUGAGAGGGUGAACGGCCACAUUGGGACUGAGACACGGCCCAAACUCCUACGGGAGGCAGCAGUGGGGAAUAUUGCACAAUGGGGGAAACCCUGAUGCAGCGACGCCGCGUGAGUGAAGAAGUGUUUCGGUACGUAAAGCUCUAUCAGCAGGGAAGAAAAUGACGGUACCUGACUAAGAAGCCCCGGCUAACUACGUG